GGGCGAUUAGCUCAGCGGGAGAGCACUCCCUUCACACGGGAGGGGUCGCAGGUUCGAUCCCUGCAUCGCCCA
rnacentral:tRNA from 2 species